rnacentral:rRNA from 1 species
AGGAUGAACGCUGGCGGCGUGCCUAACACAUGCAAGUCGAACGUCCUGUCUCGCAAGAGGCAGGGAGUGGCGGACGGGUGAGUACCACGUGGGUCAUCUACCGUGAGGUGAGGAAUACCGGCGAGAAAUCGCCGACAAGACCGCAUAGGCUCGAUGCAAGUCGAGCAAAGCUCUUUCGAGAGAGGGAGCGCCACACGAGGAGCCUGCGCCCGAUUAGCUAGCUAGUGGAGUAACGGUUCACCAGGGCGACGAUCGGUAGCUGGUCUGAGAGGACGAUCAGCCACACUGGGAUUGAGAACGGCCCAGACUCCUACGGGGGGCAGCAGUGAGGAAUUUUCGUCAAUGGGGGCAACCCUGAACGAGCAACGCCGCGUGCAGGAAGAAGGUUUUCGGAUCGUAAACUGCUUUUCUCGGGAAGAGAACGGACGGUACCCGAGGAAUCAGCCCGGCUAACUACGUGCCAGCAGCCGC